GGUGAAGACGGGGCGGUGGCAGCCCCACCCGGCUGUAACCCGGGCGCCCUUUGCGGCAUUGAGGGUUCGACUCCCUCCUUCACCA
rnacentral:tRNA from 1 species